rnacentral:rRNA from 1 species
AACGAACGCUGGCGGCAUGCCUAACACAUGCAAGUCGAACGAGACCUUCGGGUCUGGUGGCGCACGGGUGGGUAACGGGUGGGGACAUGCCCAUGGGUUUGGAAUAACUCGGCGAAUGAGGUGCUAAUACGGGAUAAUGUCUCCGGUCCAAAGAUUUAUCGCAAUUGGGUGGGCCGGAGAUGGCUUGGAUAGUUGGUAGGGUAAAAGGGAACCAAGGGGACGUUCCAUAGCUGGUUUGAGAGGCUGGUCAGCCACACUGGGACGGAGAGACGGUCAGGAAUCCUACGCGAGGCAGCAGAGGCGAAUACAGGACAAUGGGCGGAGGCAUGAUGCUGCUCGGCCUGGAAAGCGAUGAAGGUCGGAGGGUUGUAAAGUUCGUUUACCCCGGAUUAUAUUGACAGUACCGGCAGAAUAAGCUCCGGCUAACUCCGUG